CAGAGGGUGCAAACGUUGUUCGGAAUUACUGGGCGUAAAGCGCGUGUAGGCGGCUCGGCAAGUCGGGUGUGAAAGCCCUGGGCUUAACCUAGGAAGUGCACUCGAAACUGCCAAGCUUGAGUUCUGGAGAGGAAGGCGGAAUUCUCGGUGUAGAGGUGAAAUUCGUAGAUAUCGAGAGGAACACCGGUGGCGAAGGCGGCCUUCUGGACAGCAACUGACGCUGAGACGCGAAAGCGUGGGGAGCAAACAGGAUUAGAUACCCUGGUAGUCCACGCCGUAAACGAUGAGUGCUAGGUGUCGCGGGUUUUGACCCCUGCGGUGCCGUAGCUAACGCAUUAAGCACUCCGCCUGGGGAGUACGGCCGCAAGGCUA
rnacentral:rRNA from 1 species